rnacentral:rRNA from 1 species
UACGAAGGGGGCUAGCGUUGCUCGGAAUCACUGGGCGUAAAGCGUGCGUAGGCUGUUUGACAAGUUGGAAGUGAAAGCCCAGGGCUCAACCCUGGAAUUGCUUUCAAAACUGUCAGACUCGAAUCUCGGAGAGGAUAGCGGAAUUUCCAGUGUAGUAGUGAAAUACGUAGAUAUUGGAAGGAACACCAGUGGCGCAAGCGGCUAUCUGGACGAGUAUUGACGCUGAGGCACGAAAGCGUGGGGAUCAAACAGG